UCCGUAGGGACCAAGCGUUGUUCGGAUUUACUGGGCGUAAAGGGCGCGUAGGCGGUGCGGUAAGUCACUUGUGAAAUCUCUGAGCUUAACUCAGAACGGCCAAGUGAUACUGCAGUGCUAGAGUGCGGAAGGGGCAAUCGGAAUUCUUGGUGUAGCGGUGAAAUGCGUAGAUAUCAAGAGGAACACCUGAGGUGAAGACGGGUUGCUGGGCCGAUACUGACGCUGAGGAGCGAAAGCGUGGGGAGCGAACAGG
rnacentral:rRNA from 1 species